CAGCCGCCGCGGGAAUACGAAGGGUGCAAGCGUUAAUCGGAAUUACUGGGCGUAAAGCGUGCGUAGGCGGUUUGUUAAGUCUGCUGUGAAAUCCCCGGGCUCAACCUGGGAAUGGCAAUGGAUACUGGCAAGCUAGAGUGUGUCAGAGGAUGGUGGAAUUCCCGGUGUAGCGGUGAAAUGCGUAGAGAUCGGGAGGAACAUCAGUGGCGAAGGCGGCCAUCUGGGACAACACUGACGCUGAGGCACGAAAGCGUGGGGAGCAAACAGGAUUAGAUACCCCUGUAGUCCCUGUCUCUUAUAC
rnacentral:rRNA from 1 species